UACGAAGGGGGCUAGCGUUGUUCGGAAUUACUGGGCGUAAAGCGCACGUAGGCGGAUAUUUAAGUCAGGGGUGAAAUCCCAGAGCUCAACUCUGGAACUGCCUUUGAUACUGGGUAUCUCGAGUAUGGAAGAGGUGAGUGGAAUUCCGAGUGUAGAGGUGAAAUUCGUAGAUAUUCGGAGGAACACCAGGGGCGAAGGCGGCUCACUGGUCCAUUACUGACGCUGAGGUGCGAAAGCGUGGGAGCGAACAGG
rnacentral:rRNA from 1 species